UCCUACGGGUGGCUGCAGUGGGGGAUUUUGGACAAUGGGCGAAAGCCUGAUCCAGCGACGCCGCGUGGAGGACGAAGCCCUUCGGGGUGUAAACUCCUUUUCUCAGGGAAAAAAGCUGAUGGUACCUGAGGAAUAAGCCCCGGCUAACUACGUGCCAGCAGCCGCGGUAAUACGUAGGGGGCGAGCGUUACCCGGAAUUACUGGGCGUAAAGGGUGCGUAGGCGGCCUUACAAGUCCGGUGUUAAAAGCCCUGGCUCAACGAGGGGGAUGCGCUGGAAACUGGGAGGCUUGGGUGCAGCAGAGGCAGAUGGAACUGCUGGUGUAGGGGUGAAAUCCGUAGAUAUCAGCAGGAACGCCGGUGGAGAAGUCGGUCUGCUGGGCUGCGACCGACGCUGAGGCACGAAAGCUAGGGGAGCGAACCGGAUUAGAUACCCGAGUAGUCGC
rnacentral:rRNA from 1 species